UACGUAGGGUGCAAGCGUUGUCCGGAAUCAUUGGGCGUAAAGCGCGUGUAGGCGGUCCGGUAAGUCGGCUGUGAAAGUCCAGGGCUCAACCCUGGGAUGCCGGUCGAUACUGCCGGACUAGAGUUCGGAAGAGGCGAGUGGAAUUCCCGGUGUAGCGGUGAAAUGCGCAGAUAUCGGGAGGAACACCUAUGGCGAAGGCAGCUCGCUGGGACGUUACUGACGCUGAGACGCGAAAGCGUGGGGAGCAAAAAGG
rnacentral:rRNA from 1 species